GAUGCUUAAAAGUUUGAUUAGUGAGUUUGUAAUUGAGUUGAUCGAAGUGGACGAUUGGCUUGAGGUAGUUUAUCUCUGCUAUGAUGAGUUAGAAUGAUUCAGGUGUUUGUAAAGCUGGAAGUAACUGUUUUCUUAAGUUCUUUAUACGUGAAGUUAAUUGAAUUCUUAAUCGUCUGUUUGUUUUGAGGGAACUGAAGGGAAAUGGGGAGAAAGGAAAUGAGAUCAAUUUAUUUUCUUUUGUUUGGAUGUUUAAGUGAGGAAGAGAAAAGAACAGAAAUAAAAAGAGAAGGAAAGAGGAGGGGGAGGGGAGAGGAUUACUCACCUUACAUUUCCUCUCAAAAUGGAGAGAAAUGGUAGGAAAUUG
rnacentral:misc_RNA from 1 species